AGCGCUCGAUCCUUCUCGAAAAGGGCAGAAAAGGAUGGAAGCCAACUGGGCAUGGCCGCUGCCGCUCCACACGCCGCCGGCGCCGGUCGCUCCAAAUGCCUCGCCUACCUCCUCUCCCCCGUAGCAGCCCUGCGGCUCACUACCACCUCCACCGCCACUCUCCUCCUCCCCGUUGUCUCUUCUCCCUCCUACCCCGUCUCUCGGACGCCGAAGUCAGCAAUUAUGCCGUCGGCUCCGCCGUCCCCCGAAUCCGUGAUGUCUAUGGCCUCCUUCUCUGAUAACGCAGCCAUACGCCAGAUGUAGCGGCCCUGUCGGCAAGUACGCCGCCAACACCUCCCCCAAACUCAAGUCUGCCACGCCUCUCCUGCAUCCCGCUCCGAUGCAAAAGCCCGCCGCCUCCCCGUCCUCCUAGCCAUCUCCUCGACACCGACCUUCGCGUACGACGGCUACACACUUCUCAUCCUCGGUAGCGGCGGCGCCACCUGCUACAUCCUUCCCCACCGUCGUGCUCCACGUUUGUCCAUUCGAGUACGAGCUGCUCCCCGAGGACCUCUUCGCCACCAGAUAUUGGAGCGCCACCCACGGCUCCACACCCGCGUCCUCCUCCAAUCGACUCCGUCUCGAAGAUGGCUGGUCUGAUGUGAUGUUGAUGUGGAGGUACUACGCUCUGCUAUUUCCUUUCCUUCCAAUACAAAGUUCAAUUUUUCUAUCACCUAAGUUUCAAAUCAGCAUCCAACUAACUGUCUAUAAACCACUCAUGUAGCCCAAUAUAAAUCAGUGUGCAGGCAUAUGGGACUCACGCUGCUCAAACUACAGCCACUCACUAACUACACCCUCAAGAAGCCACACGAUCUUUAGAUAGAACGGACAAUGGAGUGCGAGGAGGUGUGAUUCACUGCCAUUCGCCAUCUAAUAUGCUUCGUCAAGGACAAGGUAUGGGUGUGGACGAAGAGUAAAAUCUUCUAUACGUCUCAUCUAUCUUGCUUCAUCUUUGUUAGAGGAUCCUUGUGCUAUAUGUUCUGGUGGUAACAAAUGGACAGUUGGAGUAUCUAUAAUCUUCUUGCGGAAUGAAAAACUUUGAGUAUUGGAAAUGUUGGUGUAUACCUCCCUGAACCGGUAUUUUCACACAUGCUAUGUUGCUCUUCUACAGCUACAUCUAGAAGUGCUAUAAAGAUUCUUACACUCUCGGAUAAGCAAAAGGAAGGUCAAUCCAACUCCAUUGCAAUUUUACAAAGAAAUGGUCCACAAAGAAGUCUCAGUGUGUAGUCCAAGGUCUGAAUCAAGUACAAUUUGGUGGCUGUAAAAAAUCAUUCUAUCUAAUAGGUCAUUCAUCUAAAAUUGUUUCCCAUGUACGGUUCUAAAGUUUGUGCAGAGGACUUUCAGAAAAAAUAACUUUAGAUACUUGCUUUACUGUUCAUGAUAUUUUUGUAAUCGUACAUGUGUUUGAAUAGUUUUUUUGGUAGUUCUCUUUAUUACUCUCUCUGUUCAAAAAAAUUUGGAUGACGCCUAUUGCAGGUGUCUUUGCCAUCCGCGCCCCUCCUUUGGUUGGUAGCUCCACAUCUAAUUUAUCAGGUCACACCCAAAAUUUGUUUUUCCUUGAUGUCUGUUAGCUGCAGUUUUUUUGCAGAAACUUGCUUGAUGUAAGAAAGUUGAAAGAGGCCUGGUGCAGUUUUUUUUGUGUGUGUAUACAUGCACACUCGCCCCAUCUAUAUACAGAUGAUUUGAAUGCAUCUCUUACUGUACAUUUUGUUUCGUUGCUUGGUACAAAAUGUAUUGCAAGUGAUAUUCAUUGUUUUCGCUUUGUUUAUAUAUACUGCAAGCUCAGUUUUUUUUCCUUUAGAUGAAUGUAACACAGGCAGUUAUGUAAGCAAUAGUGAUUGUUUGAUUUCCUUCUAGGUGAGCAUAUGGAUGGAGUGAAACCCCCGGAAAUAAUAUAGUUGGUACAUGUAUUUUGAGUAAACAAUUAAACGAAGGGUAUACUAUGCUCGUCAAAUGAUCCCAUGGCGUGAUCUAAGGUAUGUAAGUAAGUGGAACUAGCUGUGUGAUUUAUGUCUGGAUUAUUUCUUCUCUUCAUGGUGCACUGUAUACAAAUCCAUUUUCUUGUGCAUAUUUACCAAAGCAUUCAGUUAAACACUUCUACUUCAUUCUUGUUUUCCUGGAACCAUUUAUAAGUAUGUUCUCAAGCUAUAGUGUGUAUGCUAUUUUGAUAUAUAAAUUGCUGCAAUUUAUCUUCACUUAAGUCUGUUGUGCCUAAUAUACUUGCACGAAAUGAGCAAUGUUGACUUCCUGGAUGAACAGUAACUGAUUAACUUAUUUCUUUCUACAGCCUUUCCAAGGAAAUAAGCAAUUCUCUGUUGAAGUAGUUCUAAGGCUGGACAUGAUAUAUGUAUUUAUUUUCACCCGCAAAAAAAAUUAAUUAUAUGUAUUAUAGACCGCAGGCUGUGCUGGAAAUUUGGGAAAUAUGAUGUGGGCGCGUUCGUCGCAUCUUUCAAAAUUUAGUGUUAUCGGUUGUGAAGCUCGCACGCCUCACAAUUAACGAAGCCAAUGUUGGAAGGACGCUGACACAUGGCACAUCGUUUUACAUAUUAGUCUAGCUUGGUGAGCCCCAGUCAUUUUGUUUGUACUUGUAUAUAUUCUCUUCUGCGUGCAAAUUGCAAUAUGUUUGUUAGACUAUAUUGUCCAGAGCAACUUACGGGUUCCUAAACAUAAAUACACCCAAUCUUGUGUGAUCCCGUACCGUAGCACGGGCAUCUUACUAGUAAUAAUAAUAGUGCAUGUACAUUGAACUAAGCUGGAAUCUGCAAACAUUCAAUUCAAGGGAGAAGACAAGGUAAUAUGGGCUCUUCGUUAAAUCAACAAUCAUGCAUGUAGAACCAUUAAACAUUUUUAUUAUGGUCUUCUCCUCUCGACCCCCAAAGAAAAGAAAAGAAAUAAAACUAUUUACACGGGAAAGCUCCCAACAAGCAAAAGAAGAACGAGAAAUCUUUUUGGGUUUUCAUUUUACUACUACAACAUGGAAAUUAAACCAAUUAAUUUUUUGGUUUUUCUUAAGGUUUAUCAAAUGCACAAGAAGAAAAAUCAAAAAAGAAAUUAAACUAGCAUGGAUAAUACAAUGAAAAAGUAUGAGCACCGACAACUGGAAUAAGUGUGUGAACAUGAAUGUAUUGUCGGUGAGAAAUACGUACUCCCCCAAGCUUAGCUUUUGGCCUAAGUUGGUCUAUGCCCAUGGAUUGCGGCUACUCUUCCCGAUGUACUGAGGAGUGUCUUUGUACUGCCACUAGCUAGCGAUCUGCUCCGGAUCACACUAAUAAGAUGAUGGGCGAUAAGGAUCAAGUGGUGGUUCCGGCUCAGGCUCUGGAGCUGAUGUCUGGCCUCGAUGCGCGUACACGGCCGACGGCAAGACGAGGUAAUGGCCUGCAGUUAAAUCAAACAAAGAAGGUGCAGGCAGGAUAAUAAUCUCAUUGUGUUUCUUAUUAAAUUUCAGGUUAUACAGAAGCAUCUUAUCAUCAUUGUCAACAAUAAACUCAUGCACUACAAUGCUCCUGUAAUCUAAAAAGGUAGGGGGCAGCAGUGUCUCCUCUUUCUCAUAAUGCCUAAUAGGUAUCUCAAAAUGUUUAGCAAGGCGUGCAGCAUAGAUACCUCCAAAGAUGGGGCCCUUUGUACGGUUUAGGCUUAAUUGUUUAGCAAUAACGGCACCCAUACUAAAAGAGUGAUCGCGGAAUAAGGCAUGGAACAAAAUAAUAAUAUCAGGAACAUUGAGGUUUCCACAGUUUCCGCGACCAAUUAAACAUCGACUAGCAAAUAUGGCAAAGUAGCGUAAAACAGGAAAAUGUAUGUUAGUGAUUCUUGCAUCGGAAAUCUCCCUCGAUUCCCCUACAAUAAUAGUAUCAAUAAAACCAUCCACAUCUUUACGAUGUGGUUCAUCUAAAAUGCCCUCGAAGGGUAUUUUGCAAACCGCACAAAAAUUACGUAAUGACAUCUCUUUAGCCUCAUCAUAUAAAUGAAAAGCUACUGAAGGAGGUGAAUUCUUAAGAUAAUAGUAGAAGUUUUGCACGAAAGUAUUAGUGAGUAGGAGAUACUGUUCGAUCCGGCCCUGGAGGAAGUCGAUGAGGCCCGCAUUAUUAGCCAAAGAAUAAAAGUCUUCAUAAAUUCCGGCUGCUCUCAAGAAAUUAUCACAAGGCCACUCACACGGCCUUACUUUCGCUACGCGAGGA
rnacentral:lncRNA from 1 species